CCCUCCUGCGCGGCCGCGGCUGGCUCUAGGCCCCGGCCUCACAGCGCGGCGCCCCCGAACCCGGCUGCUCCCCCGAGGUCGCGGGCGCCGGCGGGAACCGCAGUAGCGGGAGACAUAGCCGGCCCAGCCGGGCACCGCUCCUUGCCCUCGCCGGAGACUGCCCAGCGCCCUGCGCCUCUCCGCCCCGGCCUGCGGCGCGCUGGGUGGCGACGAGUCGGCCUCGGCGUUGAUCAGCACCAGGUGUGUGCGAACAGUGGCCGCGGCGGGGUGGAGCCUUGUAUACCUGAUGCCCUCCCUCCUGACCUGUGAUUGGGAUUGAGCUGAAGAUAGUCACUGACAUGAUUCAAAGGAUUAGCACUUGGUACAGGUAGGAUGGUGGAGAUGUGGUUGGGGACAUGGAUGGUUGAGGUGAAAUGGAACAGAAGAGUGCAGGUUCUUGUCCAA
rnacentral:lncRNA from 10 species